UACGUAGGACCCAAGCGUUAUCCGGAAUUACUGGGCGUAAAGAGUUGCGUAGUUGGUUUGUUAAGUGAAUAGUGAAAUCGUGCGGCUCAACCGUAUAUCCAUUAUUUAAACUGGCAGACUUGAGUAUGGUAGAGGUCACUGGAAUUCCAAGUGUAGGAGUGAAAUCCGUAGAUAUUUGGAGGAACACCGAUGGCGUAGGCAGGUGACUGGACCAUAACUGACACUGAGGCACGAAAGCGUGGGGAGCAAACGGG
rnacentral:rRNA from 1 species